rnacentral:lncRNA from 1 species
AAAAUAUUUACUUUUCAUUGUUCUGCCAUACUGUGAAAGAUCUGAAGAUGAGCCCAGUGACAGACUGUAUUUCUGUUGCCCAAGACCAGACUUGCUGCAUUUGGAGAAGUCCAUUGCCCAGUGAUUGGCCAUAGAAUGAUGACUUAUGAAAGACAAAAGUGGUAGAUUUAAUUUGAUUUGGAUCAACCAUUAAAAAUUCCAGUUAGUUUACUACAUGUUCUUGCCUCCCUUGAUUUUAAGGGCUGAAGUCAUAAAACCUAGAUCUUCUGUGGUACAGUGGAACUUGGAAACAUUUUUAAUUAUCUAUUCUCAAGGAUUCAAAGGUAAUCUUCUUCUCCCUCUUUAUGUUCUCUGUGUAUUCUUUCAUUUUUUCCCUCUCAAGUAUAAGAUUAGUUUCAAAUUAUCUUUAUGUCUCGGCCCUAUUUCAGAGUAA